rnacentral:tRNA from 1 species
GCCUUCUUGGUGUAAUGGUCAGUACACUCGGUGCAUAUUCGAGAGGUCCGAGGUUCGAAUCCCUGCGAGGGCA